rnacentral:rRNA from 1 species
CUCGACAAUGGAUAUCUCGGCUCUCGCAUCGAUGAAGAACGUAGUGAAAUGCGAUACUUGGGGUGAAUUGCAGAAUCCUGUGAACCAUCGAGUUUUUGAACGCAAGUUGCUCCCGAAAGCCUUCUGGCCGAGAGCA